rnacentral:lncRNA from 1 species
GAAUCCUUGUGAAAAAGGCUGAAUCUCAAUGGAUCGUGGCAGCAAGGCCACUCUGCCACUUACAAUACCUAAUUAUGUAUUUAAGUCGUUUGCAAAAGAUUCAACCCGAAUUCCAAUCGUAUUAACUUUACAAGAUGGCUAAUCCAACACAUCGGAUGGGCUAACUUAACCAACGACAUGAGCCCAAGGGAGCACAAAGCACACUCACUUUAGGACGACACUUGAAAAAAGGGCAAUUGUGUCGUAUUACCAUCUCCGGCUAACUUAACCCAACGCAUGUAAACUUCUCUAUACCUCCAUAGUAGCCAGAUCCUUCGGUGAUCCUUUACCAGUUCUUACCCGUUCUCUCCUUGCGAUGUCAGUAGCUUCCACAUCCUUAGGUAGGAACCCAUCGCCGCCAGACGUGCCCACCUAUAUUUCUCAGCCAGUAUUUCCUUCUACUCCGGCGUGCUAGCAGUUACAGAAUUGCGAGUUGGGUUCCCACGCCCACCACGACCUCCAUUGAAAUUUAACCUCCCUCCUCCGCGUCCACCGUAUCCCCUACCUCUCACCAAGAUGCCUACUGCGAUAUUAAACGUCUGCCCAGUUCCAGUUUUAUUUCUCUCGGACUUGCCACCCUUCCCAUAACUUACCUCCGUCCAUCCACCACCAUCGUUGAUCUCCAUGGAGGUCUGAUCCGUGACCGAACGUUGAAGACGACUCCCAAUCUUCCGUCAAUCCGUAUCUGCAACAUGCAAAAAAGAAAAUCGCAAAAAAAUUGCCCUUCGCUCUUUUGAAAUUGAUUUUUUUGUGAAAAAGGACUUGUGGCAGUCAAUUUUUUUUUGAUAACGGAGGGUACCCUCUCUACAGAUGUAGAGCUGUCAACCUCAGGAUGAUAUAUCAGAGCCACAUAAUAUAUUAUCGGUCAAAUCUAAGUGAAAUGUACAAAAUAAAAUUUGAACCUUGGACCUCAGAAACCUUAAUAGUUCCUGAGACCAGUGAGCCAAUUUUUUUGAGUAAAACCAUACUUGGCAAUACAUAGAUUUUAACCAAAAACGAGACCCAGGUGACAAACCACCUGUCCUCAAGUCUCUAAACCUUGCUGUUACAAGCACACACCAACUUUAGAGACUGCCCAACAUCAUUUAUUGAAUAUUUACAACUCGACUAAGCAUUACAUUACAUUACAUUACAUCAAAACUACCAAUGCCUCAACCAAACUUAGUACAUGCCAUGCAUUCCUAUCCACACCUUGGUAGCCUUUUCCUUUUCACUAUUAAAUCCUGCCGGUCCUUCUUUCAUUUUUGCAAGCUUGUGAUCCUUUGCCUGCAUACCAUUCAUCAUACCCCAUAUAUAUUCUAGCUCUCUUACCUCACUCAUAUUCUGGUGGCCCAACCCACAUUUUGUCUGGCUCUCUAUACUCACUCAGAACAUGCUGCGUCCAUCCAAAGUCUGCCUUGCGGGGUUUGUCUGGUCCUUCUUUCCAUCAACAUCGUCUCAGACUAUUAUCUCCUCUCAUUUAUUCGGUGGCCUAUCCCCAUUGUAUUAAGUGGCACUCUUACCUCACUCUUUUGGUGACCCCGCCCCUUAUCCAGUGAGCCAAGCGUCAGUAACGACGUUGCUUUUUGAUCCUUCGAUGUCGGCUCUUCCUAUCAUUAUGGAGCAGAAUUCAUCAAGUAUUGGAUUGUUCAUCCAGCAAUAGGGAACGUGAGAUGGGUUUAGACCGUCGUGAGACAAGUUAGUUUUACCCUACUGAUAAUCGUGCUGCGAUAGUAAUUCAACCUAAUACGAGAGGAACCGUUGAUUCACACAAUUGGUCAUCGCGUUUGGUUAAAAAGUCAGUGGUGCAAAGCUAUCGUGUGUUGGAUUAUAACUGAAAGCCUCUAAGUCAGAAUCCAAGCUACCGUGGAAGGAUUUUCAUAAAAAUAUAUGGCAGGUUUUCGCACAUGACAUCUCCAUCCCAAGAUGCUAAAUGUAUACAUUUGAUCCGUUUUGGUUCAACGGACACACCUUUGGGUUGCUCAGAUAAACUUUUGGUUUAAUUGACAUUCUGAAAGAUAUGGUGGAUAUGGUGCAUAAUAAUAUUAAGGAAGCUAAUAAGAAAUACAAAUCAGAUGUUAAUGGGUCACACAGAUUUUAGUCUUUUUCUGAAGGGGAAUUCAUAAUGAUGCGUUUAAAAAGGGCAGAUUCCCCCAAGGUUCUUAAUCCAUGCUAGAUUUUGAGAAAAAUAAGUGACAAUGCAUAUGUAGUUGAUUUGCAGAAUAAUUUUCCUUGUCAGCUACUUUCAAUGUUUCUGAUAUGAGGAAGUAUUAUCCAUCAGAAGGUUCUGAUAAACUUCAUUCAAUGUCGAAUGUUCCUGAAGAGGCAGCGUCUGAUGGAGAGUCUAGGCCUGUUGGGCCCAAUUCUCGAGAGGAGUUGAGUAUUGGACUCUGCUUAGAUAGAGUCGUGCCCUACUUCCACUAAAGGAAUCGUGGAUUCAUCUCCUUGGCGUCCACUACAUGGAGAUGAAUAUAAGUAGGGAAUAAAGUGCACAGUAGUGCAGUUUUUGUCUUUUAUAAAAAGAAUAAUCGAGCUAUUCUUCUCUUCCUUUGCUAUCAUCCUUUUCUAGUAUUCUUCCUUCUCAUUUUAUCUGCAUUUCUCUAUCUCUGUUGGGAUUUCUGAUACGCUUAACGUCGUACCAGGUCCAUUACCUAAACACCAGUGUCGAGCUCCGGCCACUCACUACAUCUUCCAGGUUGACUAUGUGGUCAACCGCCAGAGUAAUUAUGAAAGGCACAAUUGCAUCCCAGACCCUAAGCUAUUAGAGAAGUGUAUUAAGUCAGUUAUUAAUUAAUUCAGACAUUAACUAAUUAUCUUAAUCUACUUUCUUAAUUUUAGUUAAUUACGAUCUCUGUCGCCGGCGAUCUAAUCGCCCACCAAUUGAUACACGAUCUAAUCAUAGAUACAUAAAGUUAAAGGGGAGACCUAAAGCAUACAUUUAUUUAUGUUGAUGAUUUACUAUUGUUCUCCAAAGAUAACUCUAAAUCUUUUCAAACAAUCCUACGCUGAGCACAUGCUUAUUUUCCACAGUAUCUAAUGUAACUACAUCAAGAGUCCAAUCUUAUGUGGCAUCAACCUGUAACUCUUCUAUAAUGUUAUAGAUAUUGUCAUAUUUCCGUAUAGGAGAAUGAAUGAAAAUUUCUUAUUUCACUAUCUAUUGUAAUCUGUGCUUGCCUCUUUCGUUAUUAAUGAAAUUUAUUUACCGUCAUAAAAAAAACUAUACAUGUCUUUGUAUUGUAUUCUUAUAUCGUUCAAAAGAUUUGUUGUGGUGAAGGGUUCUAAAACCUAAGAGUGUGUGUUCAACCAGAGAGUGAUAUGUUUAAAAAAACACUUUGAGAAUAUGAUUCUAUAACUAUCUCAAAAUAGAUUAUUAUAGAAUAGUAGUUUUUGCAUAAGAAAAUUAUUUUCAUUAUUCUUUUCUUAUAUAAUUAAAUUGUAAAAAUUUGUAUUUCUUCAAUUUUUCUGAUGCGAAAAACAAUUGAGCAUCGAUAAUUUAUUUAACUAG